UAGGGAAUCUUCCGCAAUGGACGAAAGUCUGACGGAGCAACGCCGCGUGAGUGAAGAAGGAUUUCGGUUCGUAAAACUCUGUUGUUAGGGAAGAAAAAAUGUAUAGUAACUAUAUACAAAAGAGACGGUACCUAACCAGAAAGCCACGGCUAACUACGUGCCAGCAGCCGCGGUAAUACGUAGGUGGCAAGCGUUGUCCGGAAUUAUUGGGCGUAAAGCGCGCGCAGGUGGUUUAGAAAGUCUGAUGUGAAAGCCCACGGCUCAACCGUGGAGGGUCAUUGGAAACUAAUAAACUUGAGUGCAGGAGAGAAAAGUGGAAUUCCUAGUGUAGCGGUGAAAUGCGUAGAGAUUAGGAGGAACACCGGUGGCGAAAGCGGCUUUUUGGCCUGCAACUGACACUAAGGCGCGAAAGCGUGGGGAGCAAACAGG
rnacentral:rRNA from 1 species